ensembl:snoRNA
AAUGCCCCUUGAGGCGUUACAGUUCAACUGCUGGUGUUGCAGCUGUGUCAUAAGGUGGCAGAGAGAGAGACAGGUGGUGGUUUACACUGAGGCUCUGCAACACACUGAGUACUCAGAGUUAUUCCCACCGACAGC